rnacentral:rRNA from 1 species
GACGAACGCUGGCGGCGUGCUUAACACAUGCAAGUCGAACGGAAAGGCCCUGCUUGCAGGGUACUCGAGUGGCGAACGGGUGAGUAACACGUGGGUGAUCUGCCCUGCACUUCGGGAUAAGCCUGGGAAACUGGGUCUAAUACCGGAUAGGAGCCAUUUUUAGUGUGAUGGUUGGAAAGUUUUUUCGGUGUAGGAUGAGCUCGCGGCCUAUCAGCUUGUUGGUGGGGUAAUGGCCUACCAAGGCGGCGACGGGUAGCCGGCCUGAGAGGGUGGACGGCCACAUUGGGACUGAGAUACGGCCCAGACUCCUACGGGAGGCAGCAGUGGGGAAUAUUGCACAAUGGGCGCAAGCCCGAUGCAGCGACGCCGCGUGGGGGAUGACGGCCUUCGGGUUGUAAACUCCUUUCGCUAGGGACGAAGCUUUUUGUGACGGUACCUAGAGAAGAAGCACCGGCUAACUACGUG